rnacentral:rRNA from 1 species
AUUGAACGCUGGCGGCAUGCCUUACACAUGCAAGUCGAACGGCAGCACGGGUGCUUGCACCUGGUGGCGAGUGGCGAACGGGUGAGUAAUACAUCGGAACGUACCCAGUAGCGGGGGAUAACUAUCCGAAAGGAUAGCUAAUACCGCAUACGCCCUGAGGGGGAAAGCGGGGGAUCGUAAGACCUCGCGCUAAUAGAGCGGCCGAUGUUCGAUUAGCUAGUUGGUGGGGUAAAGGCUCACCAAGGCGACGAUCGAUAGCUGGUCUGAGAGGAUGAUCAGCCACACUGGAACUGAGACACGGUCCAGACUCCUACGGGAGGCAGCAGUGGGGAAUUUUGGACAAUGGGCGGAAGCCUGAUCCAGCCAUGCCGCGUGAGUGAAGAAGGCCUUCGGGUUGUAAAGCUCUUUCGGCUGAAAAGAAAUCGCACAGGCUAAUACCUUGUGUGGAUGACGGUAUCAGCAUAAGAAGCACUGGCUAACUACGUGCCAGCAGCCGCCGUAA